rnacentral:rRNA from 1 species
GCAAAACGCGAAGAACCUUACCAGGGCUUAAAUGUAGUUUGACAGGCGUAGAAAUAUGCUUUUCUUCGGACAAAUUACAAGGUGCUGCAUGGUUGUCGUCAGCUCGUGCCGUGAGGUGUCAGGUUAAGUCCUAUAACGAGCGCAACCCCUGUUGUUAGUUGCCAGCACAUAAUGGUGGGAACUCUAACAAGACUGCCGGUGUAAACCGCGAGGAAGGUGGGGAUGACGUCAAAUCAUCACGGCCCUUACGUCCUGGGCCACACACGUGCUACAAUGGGCGGUACAGAGAGCAGCUACCUAGUGAUAGGAUGCGAAUCUAUAAAACCGUUCUCAGUUCGGAUCGGAGUCUGCAACUCGACUCCGUGAAGCUGGAACCGCUAGUAAUCGGAUAUCAGCCAUGAUCCGGUGAAUACGUUCCCGGGUCUUGUACACACCG